GGGACCCGAGAGAGUGAAAUUGCAAAAUCUGGCUAAGUCCCAGAUUUUGGGCUCUCGAGGAUCGGUCCCUGAGAGGAGAGACCGGUCCCCGUACGCGUGGUAAUUAAGCAAGUUGGAAAAUCGGCUAAGUCCUGGAUUUGCAACCUACGGGAACCGGUCCCUGGGUGAGAGAUGAAAGUUUUGGGGUGCCCAAUGAUCUAUCUAGAUUGUAUCUAACACAUAGAGGGGGGUGAAUAGGUGUAAUAGCCAAAAAUCACAAAUCUCAAUAUGAUAAAAAUAAAUGCGAAAAAUAAAAAUCACACCGAGAUUUACGUGGAAAAACUCCAACUUGGAGUAAAAAACCCACGGGACCAACACGCGAUAACAAUCCACUAAGAAUAAAAUAUUACAAGGUGAUUUACCGAAUCCACGGACUCAAACCUCUCUUUUAUCUUCUCCGGAUCUCGACACCAACGGGUUGUCCACGCCCCACGUCCGAAUCCACGAACGCCACGUCCCGAAUCCACGAAACGUCACCACUUCGAAUCCACGAAGCCUCGAUCACGUCGAAUCCACGACGCCCACUCGAAUCCACGAGCCCACGAUCCGAAUCCACGAACCGCCUUCGUUCACGCCGAAUCCACGACGCCGUUCAUGAAGAGCAUCAUGAUUAUGGUGAUCCUUCGCUUAGAGUAUCGAUGAAAACCAGGAAAGAGAUCUCCAAGCGAAGUGAAGAUCAAAUCGACAUAUAGAUAUGAAAUUUCAAUAUCUCGAUUUGACCUAAAAGAGGCUAAUAUGUAGAAAAUAG
rnacentral:lncRNA from 1 species